rnacentral:rRNA from 1 species
UACAGAGGUCUCAAGCGUUGUUCGGAUUCAUUGGGCGUAAAGGGCGCGUAGGCUGCGGGGCAAGUCGGGUGUGAAAUCUCAGGGCUCAACCCUGAAACUGCACUCGAUACUGCUCUGCUUGAGGACUGGAGAGGAGACUGGAAUUCACGGUGUAGCAGUGAAAUGCGUAGAUAUCGUGAGGAAGACCAGUGGCGAAGGCGGGUCUCUGGACAGUUCCUGACGCUGAGGCGCGAAGGCCAGGGGAGCAAACGGG